GACGAACGCUGGCGGCGUGCUUAACACAUGCAAGUCGAACGAUGAAGCUAGAGCUUGCUCUGGUGAAUUAGUGGCGAACGGGUGAGUAACACGUGAGUAACCUGCCCCGAACUCUGGGAUAACUGCUGGAAACGGUAGCUAAUACUGGAUACGACCUACGAAGGCAUCUUCUGUAGGUGGAAAGAAUUUCGGUUCGGGAUGGACUCGCGGCCUAUCAGCUUGUUGGUGAGGUAAUGGCUCACCAAGGCGACGACGGGUAGCCGGCCUGAGAGGGUGACCGGCCACACUGGGACUGGGACACGGCCCAGACUCCUACGGGAGGCAGCAGUGGGGAAUAUUGCACAAUGGGCGCAAGCCUGAUGCAGCAACGCCGCGUGAGGGAUGACGGCCUUCGGGUUGUAAACCUCUUUUAGUAGGGAAGAAGCGAAAGUGACGGUACCUGCAGAACAAGCACCGGCUAACUACGUGCCAGCAGCCGCAGUAA
rnacentral:rRNA from 1 species